rnacentral:rRNA from 1 species
GUCGUGAGAUGUUGGGUUAAGUCCCGCAACGAGCGCAACCCUUGUCACUAGUUGCUACGGAUAGAGCACUCUAGUGAGACUGCUGGUGAUAAACCGGAGGAAGGUGGGGACGACGUCAAGUCCUCAUGGCCCUUAUGGGUAGGGCUUCACACGUCAUACAAUGGUCGGUACAGAGGGUCGCCAACCCGCGAGGGGGAGCUAAUCUCACAAAGCCGAUCGUAGUCCGGAUUGUAGUCUGCAACUCGACUACAUGAAGUCGGAAUCGCUAGUAAUCGCAGAUCAGCAUGCUGCGGUGAAUACGUUCCCGGGUCUUGUACACACCGCCCGUCACACCAUGGGAGUAGAUUUUGCCAGAAGUAGUUAGUCUAACCGCAAGGAGGGCGAUUACCACGGUGAGAUUUAUGACUGGGGUGAAGUCGUAACAAGGUAA